AGAAAAUUCAGUAUAAGUCCAAUUCUUAUGACAGAAUUUGGGUCCAAUCCACACAUUUGUUGUUAGUAAUUCAAGUCCUCUGACUUUUGUGCCAUUUAGGAUUACUUACCUUUUUUAAAUUUCUAAGGUUUAUAUUUUAUUUUCUUAUUUUUUUAAUUUAUGUUGUGCUUCCAAUUUUGCCCCUAAGAUAGAAAUCGGGUAACCUAAAAGACAGCAGAAUAUCAGAAAUCGCGUUAAAAAUCAUCAGACGCCAAGAAUAGAAAGAAUCGUAGAAAUCAAAUCUUCCACAAUCAAUUAUGGUCCUGUCAAGCCGAUUUCUGCAGAUUUCAUGCUUCUUAAUUGCCGAGGGUUUUGGGUUUCAUUUUAGAGUUGAAUUUACCUUUCGUCUUCUUCAAUUGCAGCCGGUGGAAGUUGCCGUCGUUUGGGGAUUCUCACCUUGCUUCUCCAUCAAUUGCAGUGCCUGUGUUCCAGAUUCAUAAGCCAGAACGGUUUAAUUACAGAUUCAUACACAUGAUAUUUCUCUAUUACAGCUUGGGUCCAAUGGGAGAUUCUUGGUUACAUAUUCAUAACCCAGAAGGGUUCAAUUUCAUUUCCUUUUGAUCAACAGGAAAUGAAUAACACGCUGCUCAAUGCAUUCAAUGAGGCUUUUGAUGAAAGGUACAAAAAGCACUCUAAUUGGGUCAUAUAUGACGGAAGUUUAAGGAAUAAAGAAUACUGAAGUUGUUUUAUACCAGAAAUCGAUUAAAAAGAGUACUGAAGGUGCUUUAUACCACAAAUCGAUUAAAAGAGUACUGAAGUUGCUUUAUGUAAAUAGCACUCUAACUGUUUCAGCCCAAGAUUGGCAAGUAUUCCAGAAAUCGAUUAAAAGAGUACUGAAGUUGCUUUAUGUAAAUAGCACUCUAACUGUUUCAGCCCAAGAUUGGCAAGUAUUCCAGAAAUCGAUUAAAAGAGUACUGAAGUUGCUUUAUGUAAAUAGCACUCUAACUGUUUCAGCCCAAGAUUGGCAAGUAUUCCAGAAAUCGAUUAAAAGAGUACUGAAGUUGCUUUAUGUAAAUAGCACUCUAACUGUUUCAGCCCAAGAUUGGCAAGUAUUCCAGAAAUCGAUUAAAAGAGUACUGAAGUUGCUUUAUGUAAAUAGCACUCUAACUGUUUCAGCCCAAGAUUGGCAAGUAUUCCAGAAAUCGAUUAAAAGAGUACUGAAGUUGCUUUAUGUAAUGAAUAGACAUGAGAGAACCAGCAAAGUUUAGCAUAAUUGAAAGGCAACAGCCAACACUCUACAACGUUCACAAUCUUAAGUUGUUAAUAAUCAUUCAACAACACUCUACAACACUCUACAACUAUAACAGACGGCCACAAAUCAAAACACAUGAUGUUUAGGAUUUUACCACAACGUACCUAUAGCAUAGUUACAGUUUCAGAAAUUACCUAUACAACAGGUUGUAGUUGAUGAUUAAACAUAGUACUGAUAUUUCUCUAUUUGCAGCAAUACCAUUAACCAAUGAUUGAGAAAAGCAACAACAAACAGACUAUCAGAAAGCAUCAGGAACAAACCAUAACCAAAAAGGAUGAACGUAUCAUGAAUGAGAGAAUUUACCUGGGAUACAGAUAUUUCAAUUGACGAAACAGUUUCUGAUAAUCCAAAAAAAUCGGGUGAUUCCAUAUGUAAU